AGCUCCAAUAGCGUAUAUUAAAGUUGUUGCAGUUAAAAAGCUCGUAGUUGGAUCUCGGAUCCCGGCUCGCGGUCCACCUCGCGGUGGUUACUGCCCGUCCGGAUCUACCUGCCGGUUUUCCCUUGGUGCUCUUGACUGAGUGUCUCGGGUGGCCGGAACGUUUACUUUGAAAAAAUUAGAGUGUUCAAAGCAGGCGCUUCGCCUGAAUAAUGGUGCAUGGAAUAAUGGAAUAGGACCUCGGUUCUAUUUUGUUGGUUUUCGGAACUUGAGGUAAUGAUUAAGAGGGACAGACGGGGGCAUUCGUAUUACGGUGUUAGAGGUGAAAUUCUUGGAUCGCCGUAAGACGAACUACUGCGAAAGCAUUUGCCAAGAAUGUUUUCA
rnacentral:rRNA from 1 species